rnacentral:rRNA from 1 species
UACGUAGGGGGCAAGCGUUGUCCGGAUUUAUUGGGCGUAAAGGGCGCGUAGGCGGUUUGGCAAGUCUAGUGUGAAAUCUUCGGGCUCAACUCGAAGUCUGCACUGGAAACUGCCGGGCUUGAGUAUGGGAGAGGUGAGUGGAAUUUCCGGUGUAGCGGUGAAAUGCGUAGAUAUCGGAAGGAACACCUGUGGCGAAAGCGGCUCACUGGACCAUAACUGACGCUGAGGCGCGAAAGCUAGGGGAGCAAACAGG